rnacentral:rRNA from 1 species
AACGAACGCUGGCGGCAUGCCUAACACAUGCCAGUCGAACGAAGCCUUCGGGCUUAGUGGCGCACGGGUGCGUAACGCGUGGGAAUCUGCCCCUUGCUUCGGAAUAACAGUUAGAAAUGACUGCUAAUACCGGAUGAAGUCUUCGGACCAAAGAUUUAUCGGCAAGGGAUGAGCCCGCGUAGGAUUAGGUAGUUGGUGGGGUAAAGGCCUACCAAGCCGACGAUCCUUAGCUGGUCUGAGAGGAUGAUCAGCCACACUGGGACUGAGACACGGCCCAGACUCCUACGGGAGGCAGGAGUGGGGAAUAGUGGAAAAUGGACGCAAGUCUGAUCCAGCAAUGCCGCGUGAGUGAUGAAGGCCUUAGGGUUGUAAAGCUCUUUUACCAGGGAUGAUAAUGACAGUACCUGGAGAAUAAGCACCGGCUAACUCCGUG